AUAUUAGAUAUAUGAUAGGUAGUUAAAUAUAACAUUUAGAUAUCUUAUCUAGAUAUAGCUACUGAUAUAUAUGAUUUGUAAACAUUUUCUCAUUUUCUGUAUCUUUUCAUUUUCUUGAUGGUAUCUUUUAUAUUUUGGUAAAGUUUAAUUAACGUUUAUUUUGGCUGCUUGUGUUUUAGGUAACAUGUCUAAGAAAUUAUUGAGUACUCCAAGUUCAUGGAUACUUGCACCUCUUCUAAGAGUUUGAUCAUUUUAGGUAUUACAUCUUGGUAUUUGAUAAUUUUGAGUAAUUUUAGUAUAUAACGAGAGGUAGAAGUCCAUUUUCAGUUGCAUUACUCUCUAGUGUCCUUUUUUUUUCUUGGCUGUGCACAUAACAUGUGGAAGUUCUGGAGCCAGGGAUCAAAUUUGCACCACACCAGUGCUACAGCAACAGCAGUGACAACCUCAGAUCCUUAACCCACUGUGUCACAAGGGAACUCCUAGUGUCCUUUCAUUUCAGUGUGGACUUUAAAAUUUCUUGUUGUGCUGAUCUGAUAGUUUAAAAAAAUCUUAGUUUUCACAUAUUUUGUAAUUUUCAAUUUUUUAUUCAGGUUUAAAUCAUUACUUUUCUGGAUGCAUAAUUCUUGACAGGUUUUUUUAUUUUUCUGCAGCACUUUCAAUUCAGUGUGUCUUCUCAUUGCCUUCAGGUAUCCAUGGUUUUUGAUGAGAGAUUAGCUGUUAAUCUCACUGAGGAUCUGUGUACAUGUCUUGUCUUUCUUCAAGAUUCCCUGAUUGUUUUUGGCUUUUGACAUGAUGGUUCUCUGGGUUUUUCUUACUAGAAACGUUUUGGUUUCUGUUUAAUGGUUUCAUGUUUUUAUUAAGUUUUAGGGACUUUAGUGACAUUAUUUCUUCAAAUAUUCUUGUUUCUUCUUUUUCCCUUCCUUUCCUCUGGUACUCCCAUUAUACAUGUAUUGGCAUGCUUGAUUGUCUCAUAGGUCUUUCAGAGUCAGUUCAUUUUUCUUUGUUCUUUUUUGUUUCUCGUCAUCAGUCCAGAUAAUCUAAUCUGACCUAUCUUCAAGUUUGCUGAUUUUUUCUUCUCUGAAUUUAAGACUCUUUUUAGCUCCCUACCCAGUGACUAUUUCAUUUUAAUUAGCUUAUUUUUAACUCCAAAAUUUCUAUGUGAUUCCUUUUUUUUUCUAAUUUUUAGUUCUGUACUGAUAUUUUUGUGAAACAUUGCCAUUAUACUGUCUUUUAUUUCUUUAGACAUGGCUUCCUUUACUUUUUGAAAGUAAAGUAGUUAAUUUAUAUUCUUUGUCUAGUAAAUACAAUGUCCAGGCUUCCUCAGGGACAAUUUCUCAUAAUUACUUUUUUCUUGCUGCAUAAUGAAUGUAUCUUUUUUGUUUCUGUUCAAUAUUUAAUUUUUAGCUGAGGAAAUAUACAUUUUAAAUAAUAUAAUGUGGCAACUCUGGAAUUUAAACCCCUAGUUAACCCCUGCUGCCAGAGUUUUUUGUUUUUGCUGGUUUUCCAGUGACUUUUCUGAGUUAAUUCUGUAAAGUCUGCAUUCUUUAUCCAUUGCAGCCACUGGAGUCUGUAAUCAUUUAGCUUAAUAGUCAGCUAAAGUUUGGAGAAAGAGAUUUAAUAAAACACCUGGAACCAGUAAUUGUCUCUCUUUGCCAAGAGUGACUCUUAUGUGUACUGAGGCAUGUCUUCAACAUAGUUAAAGUAUCCACCUUAGCCUUCAGUUGCUUGAACAUAGCCUCAAGGUCAUUCAGAGGUGAAGCUUUAGGGCCUUCUCAGGUCUUUCCUGAGCAUGUGCAGAAUUCUUGGCAUGUAUACAAGCCUAUGACACACAUGGUUUUCUAGAUUCCCAAGAAUUUGUUAUAACUUUUCAAAGACCCUGUGGACAUAUCAUUCUAUAAUUUUUCCCUUUUAAGAUUUUUGGUUAAUAUUUUACUUGCCCCAAUUCCUGUCCACUACACCAGGGAGCUGCAAAGUUAAAUAAUUACAUAUAAUUUUUUCCACACAUACCCCAGGGGAAAGGCUUUUAGCAUUGGGUGAGCUCAGAGUAAGGUUAAAUAAUGACAGUUUUGCAAGUGAGGUCUUCUAGAGAAUUACUGGCUGGGUCAAAUACUGACAUUUCUCUGGAAAUGGAACUUUGGAGGAGCCCUAACACUGUUCUGCUAACUCUGCUAGCUGCCACACUGUUAGCUUUCAUUGUGAUUUCAAACUGGUAGUUUUUAAGGCUACCACAAAGAUGAAGAGUUGGGAUUGUGACCAGGAUAGGUUCAGAUGUCACAAAGCCCACUGUUCUUACUGAGAUUAAUCUGUUUUUCUUGAAUAAACAGUCCUGGAACUACUGCAAGUUUUGGCUGAUUUCUGGAGUUCUGAAAAUAUUGAUUCUGACAUUUUUUAAAAAUAGAUUUCUAAUUAGUUAUUUGUAGAAGAGAAUUUUGGAGCCUCUUGCUCUACUGUUUUCACUAUUGUCAUCUGAUUCUCUUGAGAACAUAUUUACUUGAAAAUUAACUUUAUUUCUCUCUUUAUGAUGCAGUAACAGGUUUUGAUUAUGCUUUGUGUCAAACUGGUUUUCAGCAAGAGGGACCAUGCACAAAUAGGACCCAGAUCAAUGUUAACUAUCAUCAUUCCUGACAGUGUAAUUGGUUUAACAAUUUUUACAGCAGGGCUCCAUCAGCAUUAUGAGAUAAAAACAAUCAAAGUAAAUGUCUAUGAAACAUGAGCAUAGUCUCAUAAUAACUUAUAAUUGGAUAUAACAUAUAAAUAAUUCAGAAAAUCAACAUUAAUUAGGAAAGUAUGGGCCCUAAGACAUUGUUACAAACCAGACUGUACACUGCUGUACAUACACUGAAGUAUGAUAAGAAUGCAUUUAUCAUCUUACUUUAAAGUGUGACAUAUUUGCUACCUUUGUGGUCUUGGAAGUAGUUCAAAUGUAAAAUCGUUUUUUUUAAAGAUAUGGAUUGCAGUUCCCAUUGUGGCUCAGUGGUAAUGAACCCAACUAGUAUCCAUGAGGACACGGGUUUGAUCCCUGGCUCCACUCAUGGGUUAAGGGUCUGGUGUUGCUGUGAGCUGCAGUAUAGGUCAAAGAUGUGGCUCCAUCCAGAGUUGCUAUUGCUGUGGCUGUGGCAAAGGCCUGCAGCCACAGCUCUGAUUGGACCCCUAGCCUGGGAACCGCCACGUGCCAUGGGUACAGCCCUGAAAAGACAAAAAAAAAAACAUAAAGCAAAAGAUAGGGGUUGAGUUCUAUAGAUAAUGAUUGCUCUAUAUUUAGUAAUUAAAAUUUCUCACUUGGUAAAUAGAAGUUUGGUAUCUUUAGAUAGUAUCAAGAAAAUCAAAACUGGUGGUCUAGAAAGUUUAUUUUUAUUUAUUUAUUUAUUUGUCUUUUCUGGGGCCAUACCCAUGGCAUAUGGGGUUCGCAGGCUAGGGGUCUAAUCAAUGCAGGAUCCAUGUUGAGUCUGUGACCUACACCACAGCUCAUGGCAAUGCCAGCUCCUUAACCCAUGAGUGAGGCCCGGGAUCGAACCCCAACCUCAUGAUUCCUAGUCAGAUUUGUUAACCACUGCGCCAUGAUGGGAACUCUGAGAAAAUAUAUUUAAAGAAAACAUGAAGUAGCUGCCUAGAAAAUUUAGGAGUAGAGCUGAAAUUUGGAGUAAUUCAAAAGAGAAAAUUGCUUUUAUGAAGUGCUUAUUGUAGCAUAUCUAAUAAACAUGUUUUUUGCACUACAAGGUAAACUUAAGUUUAAAUGGCUCAGUUAAAAUUUUCCACCAUGUGAUUCAUUGUGGAAUGUCUAGAAAAGAAUCAUACUGUUGUGAAAAUUUCAGUAGUUCUGUAUUCAAAAAUGGUAUGUCAAUUUUGAGAUUGAAGUUAUACAAAGUGCUUAAGCUUCAUCCUAGGAUUGUGGCU
rnacentral:lncRNA from 1 species